rnacentral:rRNA from 1 species
ACUCCUACGGGAGGCAGCAGUGGGGAAUCUUGGACAAUGGGCGCAAGCCUGAUCCAGCCAUGCCGCGUGAGUGAUGAAGGCCCGUAGGGUCGUAAAGCUCUUUCGCCAGAGAUGAUAAUGACAGUAUCUAGGUAAACGAAACCCCGGCUAACUCCGUGCCAGCAGCCGCGGUAAUACGGAGGGGUUAGCGUUGUUCGGAAUUACUGGGCGUAAAGCGUACGUAGGCGGAUUAGUUAGUCAGAGGUGAAAUCCCAGGGCUCAACCCUGGAACUGCCUUUGAUACUGCUAGUCUUGAGUUCGAGAGAGGUGAGUGGAAUUCCGAGUGUAGAGGUGAAAUUCGUAGAUAUUCGGAGGAACACCAGUGGCGAAGGCGGCUCACUGGCUCGAUACUGACGCUGAGGUACGAAAGUGUGGGGAGCAAACAGGAUUAGAUACCCUGGUAGGAUAGCG